GGACUACAGGGGUAUCUAAUCCUGUUCGCUCCCCACGCUUUCGUGACUCAGCGUCAGUUACGGUCCAGUAAGCCGCCUUCGCCACUGGUGUUCUUCCUAAUAUCUACGCAUUUCACCGCUACACUAGGAAUUCCGCUUACCUCUCCCGCACUCUAGUCGUCCAGUUUCUUAUGCAAUUCCCGGGUUAAGCCCGGGUAUUUCACAUAUGACUUAAACGUCCGCCUACUCACCCUUUACGCCCAGUAAUUCCGGAUAACGCUUGCACCAUACGUAUUACCGCGGCUGCUGGCAC
rnacentral:rRNA from 1 species